rnacentral:rRNA from 1 species
GACGAACGCUGGCGGCGUGCUUAACACAUGCAGGUCGAACGGAAAGGCCCUGCUUUUGUGGGGUGCUCGAGUGGCGAACGGGUGAGUAACACGUGAGUAACCUGCCCUUGACUUUGGGAUAACUUCAGGAAACUGGGGCUAAUACCGGAUAGGAGCUCCUGCUGCAUGGUGGGGGUUGGAAAGUUUCGGCGGUUGGGGAUGGACUCGCGGCUUAUCAGCUUGUUGGUGGGGUAGUGGCUUACCAAGGCUUUGACGGGUAGCCGGCCUGAGAGGGUGACCGGCCACAUUGGGACUGAGAUACGGCCCAGACUCCUACGGGAGGCAGCAGUGGGGAAUAUUGCACAAUGGGCGGAAGCCUGAGGCAGCAACGCCGCGUGCGGGAUGACGGCCUUCGGGUUGUAAACCGCUUUCGCCUGUGACGAAGCGUGAGUAACGGUAAUGGGUAAAGAAGCACCGGCUAACUACGUG